rnacentral:rRNA from 1 species
UGGGGAAUCUUGCACAAUGGGGGCAACCCUGAUGCAGCGACGCCGCGUGAGCGAUGAAGCCCUUCGGGGCGUAAAGCUCUUUCGACCGGAACGAUAAUGACGGUACCGGGAGAAGAAGCUGCGGCUAACUACGUGCCAGCAGCCGCGGUAAUACGUAGGCAGCAAGCGUUGUUCGGAGUUACUGGGCGUAAAGAGUGCGUAGGCGGUUUUCUAAGUUCGGUGUGAAAUCUCCCGGCUUAACUGGGAGGGUGCGCCGAAGACUGGGAAGCUGGAGUGUGGGAAAGGCAGGCGGAAUUCCUGGUGUAGCGGUGAAAUGCGUAGAUAUCGGGAGGAACAUCUGUGGCGAAGGCGACUGCCUGAACCAGCACUGACACUGAGGCACGAAAGCGUGGGGAGCAAACA